CCCGACUAAAACCUCUUGUUUUAUUCUAAGUUGGCAGCCCUUAAAACUAACUAUGUGGUCCCCACUACAGUUAGAAUAUGUGUUGUUGUCACUCAACCUCAACUGACAAGAUACUGAGUCGAUACGGUGAUCGCCUGCGCACUUGCCAUAGACUGGAUUUUUAGCGUAAUUUAGUAAUUUAGCGUGUGCCCAAGAUGCCAACUCUUGGAAUGUCAGCCGUUUCGUUGAUCAAUGGUGAAAAAUUUUAUUCCAGGGCUCAGUAUGGCUGAGGAACAUGUGUCUGAUUGGGGCUCUGAAGCUGACGGAGCGUCAGCAAUGCCACCGCUACGUCCGACGGGAGGUCUUGUGAGAACGCCGAUGAAUUUCCGAGGAUUUGCUGAAAGACAGAUCCCGGCGGAAGGUCAUCUUGGAAACUUGGAGAAGGAAUUGGCGCAACAAGACAGAACUCCACGGGACGUUGCGACGAAGUUUUCGCGGUCUGGCGUGCCGGAAGGCGUACACCACCGGUGGCACCGAAGCCACACAGACAGGGCGCGCGAGGAGCGGAGUAAUCAUCCAGCAGUCCUGUAUAUGUUGCCGAGGCUCAUGCGAGGAACUGGCGGAAUCCGAAGAGAGCGGAUGACUUUCAGCCAGAGGAAGCGUAUGCCAACGUGCGAGAAGCGGCGUACCUGAUGCUCGAGCGGUGGAACGUCAGGUUUGAUGGCGAGGACGUCAUGAAUUCUGUUAUAGACUUCGUGUUUUGGCUGGAGUUCCUGCAGAGGCAAUAUCAAUGCCCUUGGAAGAAGUUCCUGCGCGGUUUUCAUCUGCUCCUGACCGGCCGUGCCCGCGAGUGGUACUGGAUGCACGUGCGGCAUUCUAGGGUCGAUAGCUGGAUGCAACUGCGGCACACUCUUUUAGACCGGUUCCGUGGAUAUCAGACGGAACACGACGUGAUGCAGGAGCUACUACUACGGGAGCAACAGACCAGCGAAGGGGUGGACGACCAUAUUCACCACAUGCGUCAACUCGCCGCGUGAAUCUCGAAGGCGCUGAGAGACCGCGAACUGGUAAAGAUUAUAAAGCAAGGCUUGAAGGGGGGUCUGGCAAAAUACAUUUAUGCCAUGGAUGUACUAACCGUGGACGAGCUGCGCCAAGAAUGCAUACAAGUGGAAAGGCACAUUGGUCGCAAAAGCCGGACCGGGUACGUGCAGCCAUCGCGUUACUCCAAGGAACGAGGCCCACAGUUCACGAGGUUGAAGUGCCACCAGAUCGUACGGAACCAUCGCCUAGAGAACUGGAGAAGGCAGUCGUGCGAGGCAGUGUGCUGGAACUGUAGGCAGUUCGAUCAUGUCUUUAGGGACUGCCUCUCUAAGGAUCGUAAGAUUUUCUGCUACAGAUGCGGAAAGCCGGACACAUUCUGUGCACAAUGCGAAAAAACUGGUUUGUCGGUUCGGAACUGUUGAUACUCAAUAUCUGAUGUUGUUGCCUGAUCAUCUUUAAAAAAAGUAGGCAUCAUCAAUAAAAAGUUUUCGGUUACUGUUUUGCGUGUAUGUGCUAGUGUGUGAUGGACACUAAUUAGGAAUCCUUAUUUUAAAUUACUUAUUUUCGUAUAUUAUAUUUUUAUUUUUAUUCAAAUUUUAAAGUUAAGUAAAAUGUCCAGGACAAGGGCUAUCAGAUCUUAAUAGGUCUCAGAGACAAAAAGCUAGAAAUCGGUAAUUAUCUUAGCCCAAGUGAGACAAAUAGGAAUAGGUAACGAAAGACAAGAUAGUUAAUAUGGUAAAUGAACACAUACUAAAUACUGCGGACCACUUGACUCGACAUAGUCGAAAAAACAUAGAUCUACAACUUUAAAAUAAGCCAGAGAUUGGAAUGAACGGUCACAGGUAAGAGAAAAUUCGAUCCGAUGAAAAAUUAGUCAAGCACGUAAAACAUUUGCAAGCCGAAGUGCGUAAAUUCAAGCGCGACAAUCAUCUUUUGAUGCCAAUAGAAGUUUGCAGCAUCAGCCGUUUUAGGAGCCAUAUUGGUAAUAUCAGAGAAUAGGCACAAUGCGGCCAGAUCAGAUCACCUUUGCAUUUCUUUUAAAGGUUUAUUGUUUCUACAUUAAGUGGACAAAUUUUCUAGUGAGUAUUGUAAUAAGUUCAAAUUCAGAUAUUUUGUAUCUGUCUAUCUUCUAUAUUUCCCUCUGUCAAUAAUAAAUAUAGUUUUUGCAAAACGUCAUGUCAUAGCAUUACAUUAGUUUAAAGCCAUAAUGCUUCUAAAUCAAAUGGCUUAAAAUUGUGAAGGGCUUAAGUCCUUUAGAGGAGAGGUAUAUUUCCCCACGUCUUCCCCUCAUGGUUAUUAAGUCUUUAGAGGUUGGCCGACAAAAUCAUUAAAGGUAACGAUGGUCAUUGAAUCAAUUUCAUGGCUGAAACUAUUCAGCCCUCUUAAUUUUCUGAUGCAAUAAAAUUUACAAUUGCUGCCAUCGAACAUUGGUUUUCCUUCUUUUCUUUUGAAGAAGCGCCAUUUGUUGCAUCUGCCGACGACAGGGGAUAAUUAAAAUUGCAUUCAUUUAUAUUACUCUAGGACAUUGUUAAAAAAUGUCCCUGGCACUCCGAACUGUUUUUGCUGGCCUUAACAGAACGUGUACUUAAAGUUGUACAAUAAAAGUUAGAUCAUAACUUAGAUACCUUGUUUGCGUAAGCCCGGCGCCACACGAGUCAUUACGGCAGCUAAACGUUUUAUUGAGGAUCAUAUUAAAAUUUUCAUACGUCACGAUACAGGGAUUUAAAAAGUAUUAGCACUUCACUUGCUCAUCGGGAAGCAGAAAAGAAAAAGGCCAUGGCAGAUUGUCUUUGCGAACUUUUUUAUAGACUUUCGCUAGUUUUAGCUGUUAGUUUUACUUUCUAAGAAUGAAAAUCCGUUAAAAAUUUCCGGUGAAUAAGCAGCAAAUUAAAAUUUAAAAAACAUAGAGUGUCUAACUAGAGCUAACCUUAUUACUUUUGCUAGGUAAUUUUGAUUUUAACCGUUCGAAAGGCGAUGUUUCUGGUAGUCAUUUUGGCGUGUUUAGUUUCUAAAAAUUGCCUUCCCUCACAUUCAUGGCAUGUUCUGGCUGAAAGAUGCCCCGGAAGUGAAGUCUUGAUUAGUUUAUCGCAACUGAAACAAUUAUUUUGGACGUGGCUUCAUUUUUUGAGUAUCAAACUCAUAAUUUCGAGCUCUCAUGUAGGCGAGAAGUUAGGCCACACAAAUGUAGUUUUGGUGUUCCAUACUCGCCCAUGCCCAAAACAGUAAUUCCAUUCCCAUUAAGCUUCUGUACGAUGUGUACACUUUGAGCGAACAUGUACACCUUCGGUACAAUCUGGAAAUAUUUAAAAGUAUUUACUAAAUCAUUACUUAAGGUUCUCAAAUCAAAACCAGAUUUAUUAACUGGUGUAGCAAUAGUUAGCAUGUUAGACUUUACUGUGAAAUAUGUCAACCUGUAAAUAUAACUGUAAUGUCAAUGUCAAAAAUAAAUCCGUUUUCUAUAAAUUUGUAAGAGCUA